GGGAAGGUGAACAGGCAGACAACAAAGGAUUGUCAGGGCAGUGAAACUGCUCUUUACGAUACUGUGACGGUGGAUAGAUGCCAUUAUACAUUUGUCCAAAAUCAUAGAGUAUACACCACCAGGAGUGAUCGCUAGUGUAAACUGCGGACUUUGGGUGACAAAGAUGUGUCCAUAGUGAGCACUGGAAGGAAUCUCUCUCACACACACACCACCCCCGCCAUAUCUUUUUCUGAGAGAUGGAAGGAAGAAAAGAAGGAAGAAGAGAUCUUUGACCUGCUGGGAGGAGCAGCAUCUUGCCAUGAGGAGGGUGUAAUUAUCCCACACCCAGUCCACACUCCCAACUCCCAGAUACCGUCUAGAGGAGGGACACCCACAGCCAAAGGGGCGUGCGAGGAUGAGCUGGAGUGCUUCCAUAAAGAGACACGUCUCUCAUCUACAGCUUAGAUGCGCAGUGGUCCAAGGUACAAAUGGAGUCCGCCUACACUCUGACAGCCAUGAACCGACUCCAAGGACAUUGCUGUGCGCUGAGAAGCUGACACAGAGCAGAAUAAAGCACGAAGAUGACCAAACACAGACUGCCUGGUUUAUCCACAUAGCUGACUCUUCUGGAAUACCCUGCAUCUCAUUGCAGUGGAAGAUCAGGAAAUGAGAAAAACCUUAAUCUCAAAACUGGACGCAUCUACUCGAAUCAAGGAAGUCAGUCUCAUUUGAGAACAGCGCUCCCAGGCUCCCCAUCCACACUCGAAAGCUACACAAUGGCUUUUCCAAUCACAAGUCAAAUAAGCAUCUAAAGUUAAAGCCAUAAAGCCAUGAAAUAAAGCAUCAGGGAAUAACCCCACCCUGUCUCCCUUCCAGUUCCUGAGCGAGCGAGAGGUCCCAGGUUAGGGAUCUUGGCAUUUCUCCAUUCCUUUGCAGUCCCUAAACCAGCAAGACAGGAAUUAGCAAGAGCUGCAUCUAAUCUCCUCCAUAGCUUGUGGAUUUGCAUUAUUUACAUAUAUGGGAAGCACCCAUAAUUGAGUAAUUAUUCCAGCAUUUAAAGAAUGCCAAACAAUGAGCCAUUUCUUCUUCAGACCCGAUCUGGCCCAUUUCCGUUUUCCUCUUAGCACACUGUGUAGAAUUACCCAAUGUGUCACUUCCUAGAACACUGGAUUGUUUAUACAAGUAAGCAAGACUUCUUUGGCAGUAUUUAUUUCUCUCAUUUUAGACAUGAUGAUUGCAGCCUUCACAGUGCUCCCUUUUCUAGAAGCUUCUCAAGUGUUGAAUGUGUAUAGAUGCAAUUUUGUGCCUUCCUUUUUAAAAUAAGGGUUAUCCUUUGGGAAGAGGGGUGGGGAGAGAAGGCAGAAUCGAAGAGAGUAAAAAGUCUCGAAGCUCUGUGCUUGCUUGUCUGGCAUGCAAGGAGCGUGUUGGAUUUACUCCUUAACAAGCAUUUUAAAGAAAAUACUCUGCAAGCUAUACUUGAGUGCAUUUUAACAGUUUAGGAAAGAGAAUUUCCCAGAGGGUCUGAGAGGAUGAGAACAAGUAUUUGCAUCUGGAUUAUGGAGGACCUAAGUGGAUUUUUCCUGAGCUGUUUUUCCAUCAGAAAUCUUGGUGGGAG
rnacentral:lncRNA from 1 species